rnacentral:rRNA from 1 species
AAAUGCGCCUACGCAAGUAGGGACGCCCAGCGACUGAAAAUAAUUGGGAUACGCAAGUCGAAGCCCCCCUCGGGAGGCUGAGGCGACACUUUCGAAUUGCGGGGACGCCCUGAGAGCUCUACCUACUAAGCCAAGAGGGAAACUUCUUGGUGGCCCAUGUUAACAGCAUGGGGUACAGUAAAAAGGGUAGAGAUUGGGCAAUCCGCAGCCAAGCUCCUACAGUCCUUACGGAUAUGGAGAAGGUUCACAGACUAAGUGGAAGUGGGUGUGCGUCGCUCGUCGAUGCAUGCUUAAGAUAUAGUCGGGCCCUCGCUGAAAGGCAAGGGGUAAGUCACUGCAACACAUCACUCGCGGGAAGAAUUUGGAAUCAAUCAACUAGCUACAGCCUGUCGACAGCCUGGCCCAGCCUGACUUGGUUGAUCGAAAAAACUUCCCGCUAGUAUGUGGAAAAUUGAACCGUUCCGUAGGUGAACNUGCGGAAGGAUCAUUACUGAAAAUGUAAUAACCCUCAAGUUUUGGAAGGGGGAGCCGUCAAAAGCUCCCCUGGUACAUGCCUCACACCCUUGUGUAUCUACCAUGUUGCUUUGGCGGGCCGACCCGGUUUCGACCCGGGCGGCCGGCGCCCCCAGCCUAGUCUUCUGGGCCAGGACGCCCGGCUAAGUGCCCGCCAGUAUACAAAACUCCAGCGAUUAUUUUGUGUAGUCCUGAGAAUUUAUUCAAUAAAUUAAAACUUUCAACAACGGAUCUCUUGGUUCUGGCAUCGAUGAAGAACGCAGCGAAAUGCGAUAAGUAAUGUGAAUUGCAGAAUUCAGUGAAUCAUCGAAUCUUUGAACGCACAUUGCGCCCUCUGGCAUUCCGGAGGGCAUGCCUGUUCGAGCGUCAUUUCAACCCUCAAGCUCUGCUUGGUAUUGGGCGACGUCUGCUGUCAGACGCGCCUGGAAGACCUCGGCGACGGCAUUCCAGCCUCGAGCGUAGUAGUAAAAUAUCUCGCUUUGGAGGAUGGGGUGACGGCUUGCCGGACAACCGACCUCUGGUACAUUUUUUCCAAGGUUGACCUCGGAUCAGGUAG